rnacentral:hammerhead_ribozyme from 1 species
GUACCGGUGAAGAGUCCCAAACUAGGACGAAACAGCUGUCCAGUAC